UACGUAGGUGGCAAGCGUUGUCCGGAAUUAUUGGGCGUAAAGCGCGCGCAGGUGGUUUCUUAAGUCUGAUGUGAAAGCCCACGGCUCAACCGUGGAGGGUCAUUGGAAACUGGGGAACUUGAGUGCAGGAGAGAAGAGUGGAAUUCCACGUGUAGCGGUGAAAUGCGUAGAGAUGCGGAGGAACACCAGUGGCGAAGGCGACUCUUUGGCCUGUAACUGACACUGAGGCGCGAAAGCGUGGGGAGCAAACAGG
rnacentral:rRNA from 1 species